UUAUUUUACUAUACAUCACAGGAGCGGUUGAAGAAGCUAAAAUCAGAACAUGGAAAAGUUCAACUUGGCAACAUCACUGUGGAUAUGGUUAUAGGUGGAAUGAGAGGAAUGACUGGAUUAUUGUGAGAAACAUCAUUACUUGAUCCUGAUGAUGGUAUUCGUUUUAGGGGGCUUUCUAUCCCUGAAUGUCAGAACGUAUUACCCGCUGCAAGUGGUGGGAAGGAGCCAUUGCCCGAGGGUCUUGUGU